GACGAACGCUGGCGGCGUGCUUAACACAUGCAAGUCGAACGGAAAGGCCCUGCUUUUGUGGGGUGCUCGAGUGGCGAACGGGUGAGUAACACGUGAGUAACCUGCCCUUGACUUUGGGAUAACUUCAGGAAACUGGGGCUAAUACCGGAUAGGAGCUCCUGCUGCAUGGUGGGGGUUGGAAAGUUUCGGCGGUUGGGGAUGGACUCGCGGCUUAUCAGCUUGUUGGUGGGGUAGUGGCUUACCAAGGCUUUGACGGGUAGCCGGCCUGAGAGGGUGACCGGCCACAUUGGGACUGAGAUACGGCCCAGACUCCUACGGGAGGCAGCAGUGGGGAAUAUUGCACAAUGGGCGGAAGCCUGAUGCAGCAACGCCGCGUGCGGGAUGACGGCCUUCGGGUUGUAAACCGCUUUCGCCUGUGACGAAGCGUGAGUGACGGUAAUGGGUAAAGAAGCACCGGCUAACUACGUGCCAGCAGCCGCGGUGAUACGUAGGGUGCGAGCGUUGUCCGGAUUUACUGGGCGUAAAGGGCUCGUAGGUGGUUGAUCGCGUCGGAAGUGUAAUCUUGGGGCUUAACCCUGAGCGUGCUUUCGAUACGGGUUGACUUGAGGAAGGUAGGGGAGAAUGGAAUUCCUGGUGGAGCGGUGGAAUGCGCAGAUAUCAGGAGGAACACCAGUGGCGAAGGCGGUUCUCUGGGCCUUUCCUGACGCUGAGGAGCGAAAGCGUGGGGAGCGAACAGGCUUAGAUACCCUGGUAGUCCACGCUGUAAACGGUGGGUACUAGGUGUGGGGUCCAUUCCACGGGUUCCGUGCCGUAGCUAACGCUUUAAGUACCCCGCCUGGGGAGUACGGCCGCAAGGCUAAAACUCAAAGGAAUUGACGGGGCCCCGCACAAGCGGCGGAGCAUGCGGAUUAAUUCGAUGCAACGCGUAGAACCUUACCUGGGUUUGACAUGGAUCGGGAGUGCUCAGAGAUGGGUGUGCCUCUUUUGGGGUCGGUUCACAGGUGGUGCAUGGCUGUCGUCAGCUCGUGUCGUGAGAUGUUGGGUUAAGUCCCGCAACGAGCGCAACCCUUGUUCACUGUUGCCAGCACGUUAUGGUGGGGACUCAGUGGAGACCGCCGGGGUCAACUCGGAGGAAGGUGGGGAUGACGUCAAGUCAUCAUGCCCCUUAUGUCCAGGGCUUCACGCAUGCUACAAUGGCUGGUACAGAGAGUGGCGAGCCUGUGAGGGUGAGCGAAUCUCGGAAAGCCGGUCUCAGUUCGGAUUGGGGUCUGCAACUCGACCUCAUGAAGUCGGAGUCGCUAGUAAUCGCAGAUCAGCAACGCUGAGGUGAAUACGUUCCCGGG
rnacentral:rRNA from 1 species